GAUGAACGCUGGCGGCGUGCCUAAUACAUGCAAGUCGAGCGAACGGACGAGAAGCUUGCUUCUCUGAUGUUAGCGGCGGACGGGUGAGUAACACGUGGAUAACCUACCUAUAAGACUGGGAUAACUUCGGGAAACCGGAGCUAAUACCGGAUAAUAUUUUGAACCGCAUGGUUCAAAAGUGAAAGACGGUCUUGCUGUCACUUAUAGAUGGAUCCGCGCUGCAUUAGCUAGUUGGUAAGGUAACGGCUUACCAAGGCAACGAUGCAUAGCCGACCUGAGAGGGUGAUCGGCCACACUGGAACUGAGACACGGUCCAGACUCCUACGGGAGGCAGCAGUAGGGAUUCUUCCGCAAUGGGCGAAAGCCGGACGGAGCAACGCCGCGUGAGUGAUGAAGGUCUUCGGAUCGUAAAACUCUGUUAUUAGGGAAGAACAUAUGUGUAAGUAACUGUGCACAUCUUGACGGUACCUAAUCAGAAAGCCACGGCUAACUACGUG
rnacentral:rRNA from 1 species